rnacentral:rRNA from 1 species
GCGGCGGAUGGGUGAGUAUCACGUGGGCAACCUGCCUGUAAGAUUGGGAUAACUCGCGGAAACGUGAGCUAAUACCGAAUGAAGUCUUUCACCGCCUGGUGAAAGGAUGAAAGAUGGCUCUUGAGCUAUCACUUACAGAUGGGCCCGCGGCGCAUUAGCUAGUUGGUGGGGUAAAGGCCUACCAAGGCGACGAUGCGUAGCCGACCUGAGAGGGUGAUCGGCCACACUGGGACUGAGACACGGCCCAGACUCCUACGGGAGGCAGCAGUAGGGAAUCUUCCGCAAUGGACGAAAGUCUGACGGAGCAACGCCGCGUGAGUGAUGAAGGUCUUCGGAUCGUAAAACUCUGUUGUCAGGGAAGAACAAGUUGUGUUCUAGCAGGACAUGACCUUGACGGUACCUGACCAGAAAGCCCCGGCUAACUACGUGCCAGCAGCCGCGGUAAUACGUAGGGGGCAAGCGUUGUCCGGAAUUAUUGGGCGUAAAGCGCGCGCAGGCGGUCCUUUAAGUCUGAUGUGAAAGCCCACG